GACGAACGCUGGCGGCGUGCUUAACACAUGCAAGUCGAACGGUAAGGCCCUUCGGGGUACACGAGUGGCGAACGGGUGAGUAACACGUGGGUGAUCUGCCCUGCACUUCGGGAUAAGCCUGGGAAACUGGGUCUAAUACCGGAUAGGACUCCUGGCUUCAUGGUUGGGGGUGGAAAGCUUUCGCGGUGUGGGAUGGGCCCGCGGCCUAUCAGCUUGUUGGUGGGGUAAUGGCCUACCAAGGCGACGACGGGUAGCCGGCCUGAGAGGGUGACCGGUCACACUGGGACUGAGAUACGGCCCAGACUCCUACGGGAGGCAGCAGUGGGGAAUAUUGCACAAUGGGCGCAAGCCUGAUGCAGCGACGCCGCGUGAGGGAUGACGGCCUUCGGGUUGCAAACCUCUUUCAGCUAUGACGAAGCGCAAGUGACGGUAGUAGCAGAAGAAGGACCGGCCAACUACGUGCCAGCCGCCGCGGUAAAAC
rnacentral:rRNA from 1 species